AAUAAGAUGCCUGAAUUAAAGGGCUAUUUUGAUAGAAUAGAUAAUGUAGAAAUCUACUCUUAUUA
rnacentral:tRNA from 1 species